rnacentral:rRNA from 1 species
GUCCACGCCGUAAACGAUGGGCACUAGGUGCCGGGGAGCGACCCCGUCGGUGCCGUAGCUAACGCGUUAAGUGCCCCGCCUGGGGAGUACGGCCGCAAGGCUGAAACUCAAAGGAAUUGACGGGGCCCGCACAAGCGGUGGAGCAUGUGGUUUAAUUCGAAGCAACGCGAAGAACCUUACCUGGGUUUGACAUGCACGUGAAAGUCCUGUGAAAGCAGGGGCCUCCUUCGGGACACGUGCACAGGUGCUGCAUGGCUGUCGU